rnacentral:rRNA from 1 species
UACGUAGGGGGCAAGCGUUGUCCGGAAUCAUUGGGCGUAAAGCGCGUGUAGGCGGCCCGGUAAGUCCGCUGUGAAAGUCGGGGGCUCAACCCUCGAAUGCCGGUGGAUACUGUCGGGCUAGAGUACGGAAGAGGCGAGUGGAAUUCCUGGUGUAGCGGUGAAAUGCGCAGAUAUCAGGAGGAACACCAAUUGCGAAGGCAGCUCGCUGGGACGUUACCGACGCUGAGACGCGAAAGCGUGGGGAGCAAACAGG